rnacentral:rRNA from 1 species
AGAUGGGAGCUUGCUCCCUGAUGUUAGCGGCGGACGGGUGAGUAACACGUGGGUAACCUGCCUGUAAGACUGGGAUAACUCCGGGAAACCGGGGCUAAUACCGGAUGCUUGAUUGAACCGCAUGGUUCAAUUAUAAAAGGUGGCUUUUAGCUACCACUUACAGAUGGACCCGCGGCGCAUUAGCUAGUUGGUGAGGUAACGGCUCACCAAGGCAACGAUGCGUAGCCGACCUGAGAGGGUGAUCGGCCACACUGGGACUGAGACACGGCCCAGACUCCUACGGGAGGCAGCAGUAGGGAAUCUUCCGCAAUGGACGAAAGUCUGACGGAGCAACGCCGCGUGAGUGAUGAAGGUUUUCGGAUCGUAAAACUCUGUUGUUAGGGAAGAACAAGUACCGUUCGAAUAGGGCGGUACCUUGACGGUACCUAACCAGAAAGCCACGGCUAACUACGUGCCAGCAGCCGCGGUAAUACGUAGGUGGCAAGCGUUGUCCGGAAUUAUUGGGCGUAAAGCGCGCGCAGGCGGUUUCUUAAGUCUGAUGUGAAAGCCCCCGGCUCAACCGGGGAGGGUCAUUGGAAACUGGGGAACUUGAGUGCAGAAGAGGAGAGUGGAAUUCCACGUGUAGCGGUGAAAUGCGUAGAGAUGUGGAGGAACACCAGUGGCGAAGGCGACUCUCUGGUCUGUAACUGACGCUGAGGCGCGAAAGCGUGGGGAGCGAACAGGAUUAGAUACCCUGGUAGUCCACGCCGUAAACGAUGAGUGCUAAGUGUUAGAGGGUUUCCGCCCUUUAGUGCUGCAGCAAACGCAUUAAGCACUCCGCCUGGGGAGUACGGUCGCAAGACUGAAACUCAAAGGAAUUGACGGGGGCCCGCACAAGCGGUGGAGCAUGUGGUUUAAUUCGAAGCAACGCGAAGAACCUUACCAGGUCUUGACAUCCUCUGACAACCCUAGAGAUAGGGCUUCCCCUUCGGGGGCAGAGUGACAGGUGGUGCAUGGUUGUCGUCAGCUCGUGUCGUGAGAUGUUGGGUUAAGUCCCGCAACGAGCGCAACCCUUGAUCUUAGUUGCCAGCAUUCAGUUGGGCACUCUAAGGUGACUGCCGGUGACAAACCGGAGGAAGGUGGGGAUGACGUCAAAUCAUCAUGCCCCUUAUGACCUGGGCUACACACGUGCUACAAUGGGCAGAACAAAGGGCAGCGA